AGGUGUUGUUGUUGUAGUAAUUGAUGUAGUAGCAGUAGUGUUUUUUAUAUCAGUAGAGGUUGUGGUGGUAGUAGUAAUAGUAGAAGUAGUAGCAUUAACAGUUUCUGUAGCAAUAGUAGUAGCAAUAGAAGUAGCAGUAGUAGCAGUUGUUGCUGUAGUAGCAGUUGUUGCUGCUGCUGUUGCUGCUGUUGUUGUUGCUGCUGUUGUUGUUGCUGCUGUUGCUGCUGUUAUUGUUGCUGUUGUUGUUGUUGGUGGUGUUGUUGAUGCUGUAGUAAUUAAAGUAGUAGUUCUGCAGAAGUAGGAGUAGUUGUUACUUUCAAAGCAAUUUCUACAAGUUUAAAUUCCUUAACCCUGUCCAAGUGGUAUACACACUGUUUUUUCUCAAUAUCAAACUCAGCCAGUCCAGGUUGUCAAAUAACAAUCUAUCUGAUAAGCCAAGCAUGUGUUAUACAUCAGAUGUUGGGUAUGUUUACUGCAAAUCUAUUGGUUAUAAGAUAUAACAGCCUUUUCUAAUUGGCUGAAUUCAAAUACAGAAAGUUUACCUGUUAGAUUGAAACAUGAAACAUGGUGGACAAUGUACUGGUUUAACUUGUUAAAAUAAAGUUAAAGACAUUUAACAAACAGAAGAGUUCAUUAGUUUUUCCAUUAAAAACACUUUCUUAAAAUACUUAUGUAUUUAUAUCAUUUGGAAAGUGACACGAAAUAUUGCUAAAGAGUGAUGCAUACAGUGUUUGAGCAGUCUGUCUAGGAAUAGAACAACAACUGAAGUUGAUGGAAGAUACUGCAGAGUUUGGCAGGGAAAUAAUCCAACAGCAAAGCGGCUCUUUAAGCGCAUUUACCUAGAGGACUUACAGGGCCACAAAUUCAUGAGCACAUGUGAGCAGUAUACAAUGUACCUCAUACCAAAAAGGACCCGGAGGCAGUGACUGGUGUUCAAUAUUCUCAGAAGAAAAGGAAAAUGGCAGUGGAAGACUUGGACAAACAUUUUUAAAAACUAGCCUCUGUGUUAAGCCUGGCAGUCUGUGGCUGGUGACAUGUUUUAUUUUGGUUACUUCUUGUAUAAAAAAGACCAGUUAUUUAUUUUGUAAAUUGUAUUUUGUGUUUGUUUUUUGUCUUAAUAUAUUUGUUGUUGUUUUUUAAUUUAGGAAAUUAAAACUUGGAUAAUUGAAUUAAGUCCAUGUUCAACAGUACUGAGCAUAGUAUAAUAAAUAACAAAUUUACAACAGUUGUUAAUUUGUUAUGUAUUAUUAUUAACUAUGCUCAGUACUUGAAUACUGGCUGUCUGCAUGGGAAUUUGUUUUCUAGAAAGUUGGUUUCAGACUUAAAUAUUAGAAGUUAACCUUCGGAACUUUUCUAGAAUUGUACUGGAACACAUCAACUGGAACUGAACUUCUGUUAUCAUACUGAAAGUGUUCUAGAAUUAAUAAGGAACAGUUGUUGAACUUUAAAAUUUAUGAGAAAAAACUCUAGAACAAUUGUGCGUGAUGUGUGUGUGCAUGUAAUUGUGUGUGUUUAUGAACAUAUGUGAGAAAGGAAGUAUACUUGUCAUAAGAGAAAUGUAAAAUUCUACUUCUAUGUUUUAUAUUGUGCUAUGGAAUUCCACGGCAUUCUAUGGAAUUCCACGGCAUUCCAUGGAAUUCCACGGCGUUCCAUGAAAUUCCACGGCAUUCCAUGGAAUUCCACGGCAUUCUAUGGAAUUCCACGGCAUUCUAUGGAAUUCCACGGCAUUAUAUGGAAUGCCACGGAAUUCUAUGGAAUUCCACGGCAUUUUAUGGAAUUCCAUCCCAUAUCAAGUCCCCCUUCUGUUUUUUUUUCACUUUUCCAUUGAUUGCAUGGAAUCGGAUGGAAAGUUAGUGCCAAUACUCCACGGAAUUCCAUCUAACAAUUUCCAUAGAAUUCCAUAUGAUUCCACGGCAGAUCUACAGACGGGUGGCUACAUUACAUUCCACUAACACUAUAAUAACUUAAAUAAUGCAGAUUACAUUUCUAACGGACAUGUUACGGACCAAAAUUUAAAAAAACCUAAGAUUUGGUGGUCAUUAUUAUAAAAUUGUUUCUAUACAUGCAACUAGAUCGAUACAUUAAAAAAAGUUUGUACAAAUUGUAUUUGCACCUAAAGCUUUUGAACUUUAGAUUUAAGUGUGUGUGUUUUUACUUUUUACAAACAAAAGUUUUUAGUCAAAUGAAACUCCAUAUUUUUCUCUUUAAAAAUGAUGUCAUUUAAGCAUUGAUAGUGCGUUUUUUCGGUCACAAAAGGCAUGGCUCGUUGUGACUACCAAUGUUACUGUUUUCGCAACAUUAUGGUAUAUGUGGGACUGUAAAUAAUGAAUGUGUUUCUGUAUCCUGCGCUGUGUUGCUUAAAAUAGUUAUUAUUGCUGUUAGGAACCAAUUAGUUCUGCUUAAUGCAUGAACAUUUAUUUGUUUUGUAUCAUUUCAUGAACAACUGAAUGUCAAUUUUUACCAUUUAUGAUAAUUUGAAAAUGAAUUAUUGUUUUGUUCAUUAUUGCCUAACAAUUCAGGUAUUUUAGUCAAUAUGCCUAUUUGUCAAAAUACUCCUAUGUGUUGAGGUUCAGACAGUAUGAAUAUCUGAAUGUCAAUGCCGGGACUGUAUAUGAGAUGUGAAGUAGUUAGUGCUAGGACUGUUGAUGAGAUGUGAAGAAGUUAAUACCAGGACUGUUUAUGAGAUGUGAAGUACCUAGUGUCAUGACUGUGUUUAUUCAUCGUCUUUUCAUUGCAAACUAGUUGAAAACUCAUUUUUAUAUCAGAAUAAAUGUUAAUUGUUGCUUAAUCAUGACUAAGAAUCAUGCAUCUGUUAUUGUACUAGUGUUGUGUAACUAAAUGCUUAAUUAUUUGUGCAUGGUUUUCACAUGAUAUUUUAUGAUUUUAUGAAAUACUGUAAUAAUCUUAAACAUGAAGGCACUUAUGGUUUUGUGAAAUUAUAAGGAAGUGGUUAAUUUAAAUUUAAUUAUUCUCCAUAGCUAUUAGUGCUUUAUGCAAGCAUUAUAUUAUGGGAUGUGAGACAGCCAUGGCAAACUUGCGUCAUUCUGUACUCUGGAUCGCCACACUGAUAUACUACUUGUAUGAUUAUUAAACUAAUCACAUUUUAUAAAACAUAAUUCUUAAAAAAUUAUCUUAUGCAUAAUGCUGAAUGUUGUUGUUGUUUGCUUGCCUUUUGCGCGUCUUUGUGCUAUGAAAAGCUCAGGACAUAUCACCUUCACUGUAAAUGUAUGUUCAAAAUUUGCCAAUGAAUAAACUUAUUUUGCAAAUGUAAAUGUGGCAAAAUAAGAUAGACACUUCACCAUUUAAAUAAAAAAAAAAAGUUUCAGGAAGGAAUGAAAAAAACACUUGUGAGUCAAUUAGUAGGGGAAAAUAACCCUGAUUUUGGCCGAUUUUGUUACCGGUUUUACACUACCCUGAUAUUUCACAUAUCUAUACCUAACACCUUACUCGAUCCUUUUAAGAUGGGAGCAGCACUGUCCGCUAAGUAUUUGUUUCGGAAUAUGAGUUUUCAUGGUAACAGGUUUGAAAAUGGUGGGCACUACUUAAAAUCAAUGUCAGUCUGGUCGCAUGUGUAAUUUUGAUGUAAUUUAAUAUACCAUAUUUAUGAGGGAUAAGUAAAAUUUAUUUUAAAUUAUAUUGUUUUCCAUUUUGUCCUCCUAUAAGGGAUACCAUGGCAAACAAAUUCUCAUUUCUCCCUAUUUUUUUAACUUUUUUAUGGAACACAUAUACUUUUAAUCCUUCUUUCUAAACAAUAGUUGAUUAUCUGGUCUUAAUCUUUGCUUGUUAAAUUAAUCAACAAUUAUGUCAAUAAAUUUUGACACACAUUUGUUUGUUAUGGUUACCAGAAUAUUCAUAAAUAAAUCCCAAACUCGGUAACUAUGCUAUAUAAUUUACUCACUCAUCUGUGGUUAAAGAAACAAAUUGUCCAAUAAUUGCUUAUAGUUUUGAGUUUAUUCACUAUAAAGUUUUUGUCUUAUUAUUCACAUAAAUUACAUAUUAAGGAGACUGUUGAUUCCCUUUUAUUAACAAAUAUUAUUGAAAAUGUUCUGUGGUGCCAUGGUAACCACACUGAAAUACAUCAUAUUUUGGUGUAAAAUGUUUUGUAUUAACAGUUUUAUUGAGUGUUUUGCUUAGCCAUGUAUUUUAUUAUUUUCAUAUAGAUAGAAUCAUGUAUAUUCAAGAAAAUAAAAAAUGUAGCUAAUGUGGUUUCUAAGGAAAUUCUUAUUUAUUUCCAUAGCAAUAGACAAACAUACACACAAGUCAGUUGGCAUUGUGAUGAAAAUGCAUUAUCAGACACUUGUCAGACAUUAUUGUGCGGAAGGUUUGACUAAAUUGCACACACAACAUGUAAGAACUGCUGUCGCUCAGUGGUAGCAUAUAUCACAAAAGUUACUGAGUUACUUCCCUUUGAAAUAUUACACCAUUUGUACAACAUUAACAUCAACAAAGAAGCAGACGUUAGUUUACUGAUUAUCCAAGGAGGAAU